GGGACUGCCGCACACCAGCCCCCCACAUCCUUUGUGACUAUGUAGCUCAGAAUGGCUCCCUACAGCCUCACAGCCCAGAUUCCAGUAGAAACAAAGACUCUCAUAUAAAGCAGACAUGUAAGUGGGCUGAAUAUUGCUUUGUUCUCAUACAAGACCUUAACCUGGAAGAACGACUUAACUUAUGAAGCUCAGGGUUUACACCCCUCCUCACUCUCCUUUACGUUAGUGUCAUUUUAGAAGUUGGAACACAGAAAACAAUUAAAUUGCUUCCAGAAUUAUAAAGGAAAUAUACAUUCUUCCUUGUCUGUCUUGAAUUUAC
rnacentral:lncRNA from 1 species